UAAUAAUUGUCUUACUUGUGAACAUUUUCAUUUAGGGCGUGUACCAGACUUUAUCCUGGAAAAGAUACCAGCCAUGUUGGGUAUUGAUGGUCUCUGUGCUACUCCAUCACUGGAAGGCUUUGAAGAAGGUGAAUAUGAAACUCCUGGUGAAUAUAAGAGAAAGAGAAGACAACGUGUAGGAGGGCUACUGUAGCAAAGUACUACAAACUAGGUGGCUUAAACCAACAGAAAUUUG
rnacentral:lncRNA from 1 species